GGUGAAGAACGUAGCGAAAUGCGAUAAGUAAUGUGAAUUGCAGAAUUCAGUGAAUCAUCGAAUCUUUGAACGCACAUUGCGCCCGCCAGUAUUCUGGCGGGCAUGCCUGUUCGAGCGUCAUUUCAACCAUCAAGCCCCCGGCUUGUGUUGGGGACCUGCGGCUGCCGCAGGCCCUGAAAACCAGUGGCGGGCUCGCUAGUCACUCCGAGCGUAGUAAUACAUCUCGCUCAGGGCGUGCUGCGGGUUCCGGCCGUUAAAAAGCCUUAUUUACCCAAGGUUGACCUCGGAUCAGGUAGGAAGACCCGCUGAACUUAAGCAUAUCAAUAAGCGGAGGA
rnacentral:misc_RNA from 1 species